GGUCGUGGGCCAAGCAGACGGCGUAAUACAGCCUGAGAUAACGCGGGGUUGGACGCCCGUCCGCCGUCUACAAGGUGAGCCGUGGCUCGAAAUCGGAGUGACAUCUGAUCCGUGGCUCAGGUUGUUUCCUUUCCGUGCGCUGCCAAGGAAUUCGAUGCAGGCGCGAGCGCCUCCCCCACCCAGAUCGAGGGUCCCUGUGAGAUAGAGACGCGGAGCUACGGCGGCGAGCGACAAUGGAUUUUCCGAUGUAACCAAUCGGCAGGUACGCGCAUCCGUGCUUUUCCCUGCGGUCUCUCCUCGGUUUGUAGGCGGAUUGCUUUCGUGGCUGGCAGAGGAGCUUCCAAUUUUUCAGAUCUUGUUUCAUUGAAGAUGUGGGGGAGAGCUUGGUGCCGCCCCCCUGUGACUGCGGCCGUAGGCUUGGCGACGGGCCCUGUGUUUGCCCAUGGCGAUAUGAGGGUACAUCUGAUGGUUUUGCAGCAGCCGCAGAAGUCUGGGUGGAAUAAGUUGUUGAGGAUUGGUGCCGCUGCACCCAGCAGAGCACUGCACCCGAAUCAUAUUACUGCAUUCGAGAAUGCUGUUCUGAUGUUUUACCGAUUAUCCAUCUGAAAUUGUGAUCUCUCCAGUUCUGGGGACUUCAUUUGAAUCGUUGGGUGAGGCUUAUAAUUUUUGCAAUCUAUAUUCCUGGGAGAAGGGAUUUGGCAUAAGGUAUGGAAAAAUAGCCGACUUAAUGUCAAGAGGAUGAAAUGCGUGUGGGAAAUAGUUUGUGGGUGCUUGGUUACUGGUCUUUUCAUGGUUACUGGUCUUUUCUUGAAUGCUAUUUGUUCAGCAUUAUGAUGCGUCCAUUUCUGCCUCGGCUUUCGUUUCGUGCAUUGACGCUAAAUUGUAUUCGUGCUCCAGGGGAAGACUGGUGUAAAGAACACAAGGUCCUGCUAGUGUCAAUGUCCAACUCUGAUAAGAUUUUUGUGGGCCGAGGAAAAAUGUUGGUACAUUGCAGAGCACAAAGAGAGUCACAACCAUUCACCUUCACCUAAUUUUGGGGAGACAAUCCACUGGCCAAUGGCCAUCACACAAGCAUAUUCAUGUUUACAUCGGGGAAUGUUCCAUUCAUGAAAAGGUCUUUGCGUAAUCAGUGUGGGAAGAUAAACUGGGAGCAGGCAAACGAUGAUAUGAGGAAGACGAUGCAUGUGUUUGAAGAGAUUGGAGGGAAGGAUCCCACAUUACAUACAGAGUUCAAGCUGAUAACGAUGGCAGAUUGACAACCUCAUGUGGGCUAGCGGCAGCAGUAGGCUUCAGUACACAUUUCUUGGAGAUGUCAUAACAUUUGAUACCACGUAUAAGAUAAACCUGUACGACAUGCCUUUCGGGUUGUUUCUUGGUGUUAACAAUCAUUUUCAGAGUACCAUAUUGGCUGGAGUUCUUGUUUGCGAUGAGACAGCGAAGAGUUUUGAGUGGGUUUUCACCGAAUUUCUGAGAAUGAUGGGUGAUGAUCCACCGGUGACCAUACUUAUAGAACCAAGCCAUGGAGCUAGCGAUCAAGAGCAGAAUGUCGGACACCACGCACAGGUGGUGCAAGUGGAACAUCCUAAAAAUGGCAAAGGGGUCCUUGGGUGCUUUGUACACCAAGAAAAGUGAGUUCCGAGCAGAGUUCCAUAAUGUGGUGAACCACAUGCUAACAUGCUAACGGGGUACGAAUUUGAGAGGGGGUGGUACAUGUUGCUUGAAAAGUACAAGCUAAGAACACACCCAUACAUGUCGUGGGCCAGAAUCACUAGUAUUCAUCUGAUCCGUGGCUCAGAAAAUUCACUUUCCGUCAAAGGACGGCAGACGCGCAUUGACUGCAAGCCCUGCGGCCCCUGACUCUUCUGCCCCAGAGCCGCGGGCAUUUUCGUCAAGAGGAAAAGAAGAGGCGACUGCCGCGCCAUGGAGUUCCUAAUGCAUCCGAUCCGCAGGUCGGGGAGAAUCUGGUGCCAGAAGGUUUGUCAGCGGAUCGUACAAGGCGAACUGUGGUGGAGGUGACAAUGCAGGAGGGCACGGUCUUGAGCGGCGACGGACGGGUCUGCGGGGCGUCAGGAGCGGCGGCAAUGAGCGGCCAAGGGCGAAUCUGCAGCACUACGCAGGCGAUGUCAAUGAGCCGCGAAUGCCGAAUGGCUAAUCUGUAGCACGGCGCAGGCGGCAGUGGUGAGAAGGGACAACUCGCCUCAUACGUCUGAGCUGUCGACGGGGAAGAUAACUCCCCAGGCUCUGCUUGGAAUAAGAGGUUGCGGAUUGGUGCCGCUGGCCCAACCAGGGCACCUUGGCCAACCCGUGUAGGCGCGUUUGAGAAGGCAGUGAGUGUUUUCUCCUAUGCCGGUGUAGUGGUUUCAUUAAGUUUCCAUGGCAUAGCUUUGCAUGAACCAUUUUCUUUUAGUAUAUCAAGAAGAAGCUAAUGUUAAUAAGCAUGUCGGACAUACAUACGAAUAUUUCCCGCUUGAGGUUAUGAUGCAGAAGAGUACAUUUCCCAUAGUGAUGCUCGAGGGGUGAUUUGCUGGAGUAGUCCUAGCUUAAUUUUCUGUCGUGGCAGUGCACCCUAGCGUCCUGGCAGAGGAUGGAAUGAGUACCCCGCCACUCAAAACUAAGCAUGCCCAUCCAGACAUAUUCUAGGCAGAGUAUCUAGCUGGACGGCAAGGAACCUAAGGUUGCAAGUAGGAGUGGUGAGGGUUGAAGUGAAAGGGGAGAUCGGUGAUAAGUUCCCCAAAAAGGUUGGGCUUAAGCACGAUGAACCAAAUGCUCGGAAUGUGCUUCAUUUCUACGACAGGAUGAUGCGCUGCACACGAUCAGACCUUGACAGGAAAUGGUUCAAACAUGUCUUUAUGACUUUGGUCCUCCUGUGUGAUGAUGAUUUCAUAGCUGAGUUUGGUCCUGAUGGGGGAAUUAACCAAUCUCGGCUGGACAGUAAUUUCAUACAUGUUGAUAUUCAAGGAUGCGAGGAUGUAUGGAUCAUGGAAAAUAAGAUGGAGACAUCUGUUUGAUAUCUAUUUUGUGGCACGUGAAAGCAAUGUCUGCACUAGCUGUUGCAUGUUUUAUAAUGUGUAGUCUGUUGUAAGUUGUAACACAAAUUGUUUUCAGAAGUUAAUUUUCAGUUAUAAAGAGCCUGACUAUGAACUACCACGGAAUAUGAUGCGGGAAGAUGUGCUUCGAUUCAGGAUAGAAUGGACAAAGAAGCUGUUUCUCCCGGUGCGUAUGAUGGAUGGGUACUCUUUCUACGUGGUCGACGUUGAAGAAUGGAAUCUUCUCGUCAUGGAUCCUACCAAGACAAGUGUUCACAACGACAAGAUGAAGUUGAAACACGAAGGGAACACCCGGUGGCACAUGAUGAUCUCUGUUUUAUUGGUCCAGGUGUUGUACUGCUUCAGUUAUUUCUGAAUUUUGGUGGAUGCCUGAAUAAUGAAAGUCGUCAGGCUGUGGUCUGCAUCGUGUUAGGUGCCUUAUUUUUUUUAGAUUUAACAUGACUUGUGAUUUCUCAUGCGGCUCCUCUAGAAUGGUUGUGAUGCAAAUAGUGCACAGGUUGUUAGAUAUGUCAAUUUAUUGUCUGAUGGUGGACGCCAAGUGUCCAUCUGGAUGCACUUCGAAUGUUUGAAUUUUGAACAGCAUGGGUGGGACACAGCUGCCACUAAGAUCAUAAAAGGAGGGCACUAGAGGUAGCUGCCUGAUAGCUUGUGGCUGAUCUUGGAGUAGGAGUUGAAAACACAAAGCUGGGAGAGUUCCUUUGGGCGUACAAGGAGUUUUUUUUAGGUAAGGGCGUACAAGGAGAUGAAAGCGUCAGCAAGCGAUGGAUAUGAUUCUGUGUUGAGAGGCCUGACGCUGUAUGGAGCCUGGAGGGCCGGCAACCAGCAAUGAGGUGCGUACUCGAAGUUUUCUGGAUUCCUCCUGUCCUUCCAUUGUUUGGUUCUUCUCUGUAAUCCAAGCAGCAUGGAUUCAGAUUCCUGCUGAGAGCGUUCGGAGGCAAAUGUCAACCAGGCCAAGUUGAAGAAGAUAAUGGGAGAGGAGAAGGAAUCUUCGGGAGGAAGGAUGGAUCGCUUGGCCGCAUUUUUAUUUUUUUAUUUAGGGGCGGCUGUGGUGCACAAUUAUUGGGGCGGUUUGAACGGCCAGCGACCACCGUUUGGAAGGUAAGGUCUGAGCCGUGGCCCAAGACGCAGCUGACCGGCUGAGCCGUCUCGCGGGGGUAACGGCAGUCACAUUAAAUGCGGCAGUUGCAUGGGUCAGGGUCAGGAAAAAAGCCGCACAUACAGCUUGGAAUACAGAGUAAUACAUGUGAGAUGAUCUGAAUCUGAACGCUAGCUGAAGGCUGAGAUAUGGAGCUCAUCUGAGCUCGAGCUCAGAAUAGUACUUUCGGUCCCUAAGCGAUUUGCCUAGGCGCGCAGCUAUAUACGAAUCGUGGGACCUAUAUAUCGCUUAUAGCGAG